rnacentral:rRNA from 1 species
AGAGUUUGAUCCUGGCUCAGGACGAACGCUGGCGGCGUGCCUAAUACAUGCAAGUCGAACGAAGCUUUCUUUCACCGAAUGCUUGCAUUCACCGAAAGAAGCUUAGUGGCGAACGGGUGAGUAACACGUAGGCAACCUACCCAAAAGAGGGGGAUAACACUUGGAAACAGGUGCUGAUACCGCAUAACCGUGAACACCGCAUGAUGUUCGUGUAAAAGACGGCUUUUGCUGUCACUUUUGGAUGGGCCUGCGGCGUAUUAACUUGUUGGUGGGGUAACGGCCUACCAAGGUGAUGAUACGUAGCCGAACUGAGAGGUUGAUCGGCCACAUUGGGACUGAGACACGGCCCAAGCUCCUACGGGAGGCAGCAGUAGGGAAUCUUCCACAAUGGACGAAAGUCUGAUGGAGCAACGCCGCGUGAAUGAAGAAGGCCUUCGGGUCGUAAAAUUCUGUUGUCAGAGAAGAAUGUGCGUGAGAGUAACUGUUCACGUAUUGACGGUAUCUGACCAGAAAGCCACGGCUAACUACGUGCCAGCAGCCGCGGUAAUACGUAGGUGGCAAGCGUUGUCCGGAUUUAUUGGGCGUAAAGGGAACGCAGGCGGUCUUUUAAGUCUGAUGUGAAAGCCUUCGGCUUAACCGAAGUAGUGCAUUGGAAACUGGAAGACUUGAGUGCAGAAGAGGAGAGUGGAACUCCAUGUGUAGCGGUGAAAUGCGUAGAUAUAUGGAAGAACACCAGUGGCGAAAGCGGCUCUCUGGUCUGUAACUGACGCUGAGGUUCGAAAGCGUGGGUAGCAAACAGGAUUAGAUACCCUGGUAGUCCACGCCGUAAACGAUGAGUGCUAAGUGUUGGAGGGCUUCCGCCCUUCAGUGCUGCAGCUAACGCAUUAAGCACUCCGCCUGGGGAGUACGGUCGCAAGACUGAAACUCAAAGGAAUUGACGGGGGCCCGCACAAGCGGUGGAGCAUGUGGUUUAAUUCGAAGCAACGCGAAGAACCUUACCAGGUCUUGACAUCUUCUGACAAUUCCAGAGAUGGAACGUUCCCUUCGGGGACAGAAUGGCAGGUGGUGCAUGGUUGUCGUCAGCUCGUGUCGUGAGAUGUUGGGUUAAGUCCCGCAACGAGCGCAACCCUUAUUGUCAGUUGCCAUCAUUAAGUUGGGCACUCUGGCGAGACUGCCGGUGACAAACCGGAGGAAGGUGGGGAUGACGUCAAAUCAUCAUGCCCCUUAUGACCUGGGCUACACACGUGCUACAAUGGACGGUACAACGAGUCGCUAACUCACGAGGGCAAGCUAAUCCCUUAAAGCCGUUCUCAGUUCGGAUUGCAGGCUGCAACUCGCCUGCAUGAAGUCGGAAUCGCUAGUAAUCGCGAAUCAGCAUGUCGCGGUGAAUACGUUCCCGGGCCUUGUACACACCGCCCGUCACACCAUGAGAGUUUGUAACACCCAAAGUCGGUGGGGUAACCUUUUGGAGCCAGCCGCCUAAGGUGGGACAGAUGAUUGGGGUGAAGUCGGAACAAGGUAGCCGUAGGAGAACCUGCGGCUG